AGACAUAUUGGAUCCCCGCUGGUGGCAGAGAACGAGCCGUUUGUGGGGACCCCUGUCACACCCCGUAGUGCACCAAGGGUCAGGGAGGCGAGUAAGGUUGUCUACCCCAGUCUGGAUGAGAUGGUUGCAGAGGCUCAGGAGGAAACACCUGUGAAAGCCCUCCUGACCUCACCUGGGCGACGCCCGCGCACCUCACCUGUCGGCCUGCUGGAGAGACUCAGAAGACACACAGUGAACCUGGGUGCAGACCGCGAUGUCCCUCCUGUCCACCCCCCCUGG